rnacentral:lncRNA from 1 species
UGUCGCUAUUCAGUAAACUCGUGGGGCAAUAACCGUGCUAGAUCUUGGACGCGGCGCAACGGUCAACGGCAAUUCCAAGGGGUGUCAAGAGACAGAAGGUAAUUUGCACGUCAGAGUUCUUUCCGACAGUCUCCAUAUCCAAUGAGACACCGGCAAUUGAUAAUGAGCUACUAGCCACACACGGGGGCCUUCUCAUUCCUUUCUUUCUUCAGUUAUUCACCCACUGACACGGUAGUCGGCGUGUAUGGGUACGCGCCGAGUUGCAGCUUGUCGAGUGACAAGACAGCUAGCGCGUCAUGCUACGCGCUGAACUAGGGUAUAAAAGAGAACAUAUUGGUUUCUCGUCACGGUUACGUACAAACUUACUUACUUAACAUUGUGGGUACAUACAUUUUCUCUUUCUAAUUUUUGGACGUUUAACUUGAACCGUCAGAAGGCCGUUUCCCCCCAGAAACAAGCUCUCGGAGGUCCUCUUCCUUUCUCACGGUUGCAAAAAAAGUGAUUUGCAGUUAGGGCAUCGCUAGUUAAAUGGACGACGGGUUGAAUUUACAUACGCAGUUGUAGAACCGCCGCGGGUGUCUAUCAUCGAUUUCCUUCCUCUCAUCCUUCAAACAAUCAACCCCACAAGAAAUAUAAUACAGACUCAAUUUAGAGUAAUUUCAUUCGGAACCAAUGAAUUUCUCUCUAGCUUCAUUAUGUUAUUUGGAUAAAUUACAUUCAUCUCUCUAAUAUUUUUAAUAAUUAGAAUCGUCUCUCUUAUAAUUUUUAAAAUAGCACACAUUUCUUAUUUUUGAAACUAUUAUUUAGAUUCUCUCAUGAAGCUAGCUAAAUUUUAAAAAAAAAUGAUAAAAUUGCCUUUAAAUUUAGGAAUUCUAUUUUUUUUCUUAAUACAUCAAUUAAAAUAUUUUUUUUUAAAUACCAUUUAUUUAUAAACUACUCUAUUUUUAUUUCUUAUCAAUAAUAAAUUAAAAAAUAAAUAAUUUUUCAAAAUUCUUAUUAUCCCCCUUUAAUUUACAUAUUUUUACAAUAUAUAUACAGGAAUGCCCCUCUAAGGUUCUAAAAAACUCUUAUUAACCGUUAACGAGUAUACGAAACGUAUGGCAUGACCCCAUACUUGCAUAUUAUAUAUUAACAUAAUUCUAAUGAUUGAUUUGUAAAUCCAAUUUUUUGUUUUUUAUCUUAUUAAAAUCAUAUAGGUAAAUUAUAUUUAUAUUAAUAUAUAUAAGUUUCAUAAAAUGAUAGCACACCCUAAGGUCCAAAUUAUACAGCCAAAGAAUUGUACGGAUAACUAAAAUAAAUCUCAUAAAAAUUUGAUUAUAUUCUUGUUAAUUUUCCCCCCAUAAUUCUUAUAUUAGAUUGUACAUCCAUAAAUAUUAUAUAAUAGUGUCUUAAUUUAAUAACAUUCGAUUAUUGUAUUUAUUUAUGAUAUUUUAGUAAUUUUAGGGCUAAUUCAUACCCUCUAAAUUUGUAAUAAUUGAGGGAGUUAUUAUAAAUUCAGUCAAUUUGAUAUAUUAUAAAUUCAUAGGAUUACAUAUCCAACCUCAAAAAGUCAACAAAUAUCAUAUUAGUGGCCUCACAUGAUUUAUAUUUCAAUCCAACAUUCUUAUUUUUAAAACAAAUAUGGCCUAAAACUAUUUACAACUACCAAUCUAGAGUGAGGAAGUGAAGAAUGAAGACAUUUCAAGAAAUUUAGACAUUGUUUGGUGCAUCUUUAUUUUGAGUUUUUUUUAUAUAUUUUAAUUUUUAAAUUUUUUCGUCUUUAAUAAACGUUUUUCACUGUUUGAUGAAAAUUUUAUUCUUUUUCAUUUCUUGAGAAAUCCGAAAAUAUGUAAAUUUUUUAUUGAAAUUUAUAAAAAAAAUCAACAAAAAAAUAAAAUCAGCCAUUUUAGCAAGUAAAAAUCUAUAUAUUUUUAUUUUUAGUGAAUUAUUUUAUAUUAAAUAAAAAAUUAUAUUUUUAAACUCUUUUUAUAAAAAAAAAAGUAAUAAAAUAUAAAAAUUUAUAUCAAAUAAUUAAAAUAAUUCACUAAAAACGAAAACGCUCAAAAACCUCUACAGUAGUUGAGAAAGUCCAAACAAAGCUAGUCCCCAUAGCAAUCUUUUAAUAUUUGUAUAAGUCUGCCCAGGUGUCAAUUAUAAUGUCCCCACCAAGACCAAAUAAUUGCCGGUCCCAAAAAAUAGUGAAGUUCUGACCUCAGCAAUAUUACAAAGGGAAAUGCUAUAAAAAGUGUAAAAUAAAAGUAUAAAAAAUAUAUAAAAAUAUAUUAAAAAAUAUAAAAUAUACAUUAAAUAUUAAUUUUUUUAUUAUUAUUUUGUGCUCCUUAAUUACCGUCAUAAGGGUGGUGGUUAGCAAGACCCUAUUACAAAAUAGGAAGCCAUUCCCCUCAGCAUAGUUACUAGUUUACUCUGUAUAGGGGCGGAGAUAGGAGAGAAAUUCAGUGAGAUCAAAAUCAUAAAAUUAUGGGAUAAUAGUGUAAAUUUUUUUUUCAAUGAGAUCAAAAUAGUAUAUUUUUUGAGUAAAAGUGUAAUUUUGUGUGUAUUAAAAAUGCAAUUAUUUUAGUGGGAUCAAUUAACCCCACUUGUCUCUAUCUAGCUCCGCCCAUAACUCCAUAAUUGAUGUCCAAAAUCAUCAAUCAUGCACAUAAAUUAAAUGACAGAUUGGACAUCUUUAGUUUCCUACGUGGCAAUAAAAAAUAAAUAAUUAAAAAAAUACUAUUUUAUAAUAAUUUGAUAAUACGUAUUACUUUCUAUUUAUCUUUUAUAGAAGCAUCGAAAAAAUAAUUCUUUUUUUAUAAAAAAAAACACUAAAAUUCAAACUAAUCUAAAUAAUUUUCUCUUAAAAAUAUAUAUAAUUAAAAUGUAAAAUAGUAGGUAGGGAUGCAAACGAAUCGAGCCAAUAUAUGGAGUAUUCGAGAUUAUUUAUUAAGAUUUUAAUGAGUUCGGCUCGAGCUGAGUUUAGAAAAAAAUUAACAAUCAAGCUCGAGUCAGCUAACUUAGGCUUGAGUCGAGUUUGAGCUUAUUUAGAAGCUUUAAUGAGAUAAAUAAAUUACGCAUUCAUACUCUUAAACAAGAAAGUUUAUAAAAUUUUAUUAUAUUUAUUGAGAUUUUGUUUCCCUUAUAAACUAUCAAUUUUUUUUUCCUUAUUGCACCAAAUGUGUGAGACCCACUCUCCUUGUGUCUUUCUCUUUCCUAUGAAUGUAAUUAGGGUGCAUUUUAAGAAUACCCAUAACACUAUCCGAUAUAAAAUACUCCAUAAUUGAUGGCCAAAAUCAAUCACACCAUGACUUCAAGUGGGCUAUUAUAGAGAACUAUUAAUCACACACCCUACAAUGUCACAUCACUGCCUCUCCAUAAGUGAAUUACCCUUUUCCCCUGUCCAUCCCCCUUUUACCCCCUUGUCCGCCACCUUUUGAGUGAUGCGGCCCCGCCCCCCCCCAGCCGAGCCCACCCUUCCAUCACAUUUUCAGCCGGCUCUCUCCCCCUUUUUUCGAGUUCUUUUUUUAGUUUUUAUUUUUAUUAUUUUUGAUAAUAUUUUUUAUUUUAUAUAUAUAUAUAUAUAUAUAUAUAUAUAUCUGAAGAUUCUUGUGAUUUGGCAACAUCUUUUUAUACUCUCCUUCAAUUCUAUCACUAUUUGGUUAUAAUUUUUUUUUUGAAAUUCAUAAUUAGAACAUUAUGGAUGAUUCAAUUUUAAAUAGUUAGACAGUUGAGAGUGAUAUUACAAGUGUGAAAAACGUCUCCCAUACAGACCGUGACUAUGUACCUGAAUUUACCACUGAUCAGGCAAGCAUUUGUUAUUUCUUAUUUUAUCAUACUAUUACUAUUUCAUUAUACUAUCAAUUUAUUAAAAUUAUAUCCAAUUACUGAUGCAUAUUUUUGAUUAUGGUAAAUGUUAUUAUUUUCAUUAUGUGUUUUUAUGACAAAUCAAAAUACUAAAAAAAUUUAAGCGUUUACAAAUUUAAAAAAAAUCAACAAUGAACAGAUGGUAGUACAAAAAAAAUUAAUAAAUAAAUUAUUAAUUUUUAAAAUUUAUUAAAAAUUAGGAAUGUGAAAGUAUAGAAAUUUGCAAAAUUUGAUCAUUUUUUUAUAAAUUAAUUAAAAACAUUACAAGAUUAAAAAUAUACUCUCCAAGAAUAAUUUAUUAUCCAAAAAAAUAAAUAAAAUUAUAAACAAAAUAAAUGAAAUUUAUAAUCAAGAAAAUGAAAAGAAAAAUGAAAAAAAAAAUAGAACAAAGUGGGUCCGGAUGGCUGGGCUGUUGUGCUGUGGCGAGAGAGAGAGAACAAUAAAUGCAGGAGAGAGAGACAGAGAUAGAGAGGGCACUCUCGUCCCAAAACGCGUUUUCCCAUCCCACACCCCCCCGCCUGACACUGGGGUGUGAUUAAUAGUUUACGCUAUUAUAUUAGGGUGAAAUACAUUAACCACCUUGAGGUUCUAGGUUAAUACAUAAAGCACCUUCGAUAUUUGAGAAAUAACAGUGACCUCUCCUGAGGUUUAAAACUUAUAACAAAUUUUUUCUAUUUUACACUAAUUACUCUUGAGGUGUCAGGUUAAUACAAAAAGCAUCAUUGACGUCAAACGUCCGUUAGUAAAAUUGAUUGUCCAUCCAUGACGUCAGCUGAAUAGUGGUUGGAAUACCGUAUAUGCCAUUCUUUUUGACAAAGUUACUAUAUACCCCACAAGAAUGUUGAUUGAAUGAUCAAAAAGUGAAUCAUAUUAACCCAUUAACUAUUUAAUUGUAUCAUUUACAUCUUUUUUGUUACUAAUCUAUUUAAAAUAGUGAUAAAAAUUGAUCACGUAUUAUCCAUGUACUUAAGCUAAAUGCCCUUGUAUCUAAAAUACUAUUAAUUUUUCGUCAUUCAAUCAAUAUUCUUGUGGAGUAUAUAAUAACUUUAUCAAAAAGAAGGGCAUAUAUGGUAUCCCAAUCACUAUUCAGCUGACGUCAGGGAUGUUUUGUGUAUUAACCCAGAAUCUCAGGGGUGGUUAGUGUAAAAUGAAAGGAAUAUGUU